ensembl:lncRNA
UUCUGCAAGAAAACCAUCGAAGCAGGAGAAAUGGUCAUCGAAUACUCGGGGAACGUCAUUCGGUCUGUGCUCACUGACAAACGGGAGAAAUACUACGAUGGGAAGGGCAUUGGCUGCUACAUGUUUCGCAUCGAUGACUACGAGGUGGUGGAUGCCACGGUGCACGGCAACGCUGCCCGCUUCAUCAACCACUCCUGCGAGCCCAACUGCUACUCCCGGGUGAUCACCGUGGACGGCCAGAAGCACAUCGUCAUCUUCGCCUCGCGCCGCAUCUACUGCGGGGAAGAGCUCACCUAUGACUACAAGUUCCCCAUCGAAGACGCCAGCAACAAGCUGCCGUGCAACUGCGGCGCAAAGAAGUGUCGCAAGUUCCUCAACUGAUGCCCAUACCUGAAGGACCUUAACGAGGACUGUUGAGCAAAAGCACCACAAUGACCCGCAGCACGCGGGUUUGUGGCGAUUUCAUGCGUCUGGUCUAUGAUGGACCACAGCUGCGAGCAGGCCAGGAGCUCCGUCGGCGCCCUCCGCUGAUGGUUUUGAGCACAGCAGGCUCAGCAGCUGUCGGUUGCACUGUAUAUGCAGGAAGGGCCAUUUUUUGGGAGGACGCGCCAUUUGUAGAAAUACCAACAUAUUGUGCCUCCUUAUGUCUCGCUUUCAUUUGGCACUCAGAGGUGAGUCAGAAAGUCAUGUCAGAAAGUUCCCCCUUCAUAAUUUAUUUAUAUUUUUGUUUUUAUGCAUUGGCCCAUCCUCCUUAAUUUUCUAAAUGUCUUGGUCUACUUGUGCUCAGAUGUGAACACAGAAGGAAAAAAAAAUAUCAAAGAACUUGGUUCAAUUUUACACCAAAGUGCAAUUUGUUGAAGGGACUUUUACUAAAGGUAAAAAUUAGAAAAUUGUUAGAAAUUCUUUUAUUUUUCAUGUUGAUCUAAGUGUCAACUGUUAUUGAUGCACAUCUCCCCGUCUGAAUGUGCCUCGAUGCCUUCAGAAUUGUUGUGAUUUUACUGGAACCUUCCCCUAAUCUGACUUUUUGUUUUCCCAAAGAAGAAGAAGGAAAAAAAAGUGUGUAGGUGUGUACAUUUAACACUGUAAAUAGGAGCUGCUCGUGUAUGGCAGCCUGAUCAGAGCCGUACAGGUUGAAACACUAGGGGGAGCAGUCGCCACAGGAAGGAAGAGUGGAAAUAACAAAGAAGGGAGAAAAAGAUUUGUUUUUGUCAGUUUGUGUAAAGGAUGAUAUCUGAGGUUGAUACCAUCUUAAAAUUGACUUUCAGUCUGACAGCUUGGUAGCUACAUGAAAGUGAGAUGAAGCCUCUGGCCUGAGAGAGCGAGGCAGCUAGAGAUUCUGGUGGACUGACAGCCGAGGGACCAGAGAAACCUACUGAUGUGCUUGAGUAGACGUAUUUAUAAUUGAUUUUUCUUUAUUUUUGUGGGAUUGGGGCCUGUUUUCCAGACGCAGAGACGUCUGCAAGUUUGUGCAUGCUGUUGUUGUUAUCAAACUCGUUCGGGUAAUCGUAUAAGCUUGGACUUUUGAGUCACUUUCCAAAUUACAGCAGCAAAGAGAACCAAACUUUUGCGCCCUUGAAUUGAAUUUUUCACUCGGCUUGUUUUCUUCUUGGCCUGUUGUGAUAAACAUACUGAUAGAAAAGAGGAAAAAAAUUAUUUCUUUUUUAUUUGUAUUAAGUCUUCUAAAGUCUUGUCUCUUUGUCUUUUUAUUAUGGACAGGGAAAUAUCAUGCUUGCUUUUAAAAAAAAAAAAUGUAAAUAAUGUAUAUUUUUCUACAAAAAAAACCUUAAAAGCACUCACUAGUGAAUAGCACUUAAUGAUGGUAUUUAUAUUUUUAAAAAAUUGUAUUUAUUUUAUUGCCAUUUUUGUAGAAAAUAGGGGUUUACAAACACUAAUACUUGGUCUCUAUGUUUUGUAUCCCGCUGCCUUCCAGAGUUUUUUUUUUUUUUUUUUAAUAAUUGUUUUUGUUUUCUUUUUAAAAUUCGUACCCUGAAUGUUUUCUUUGAUUCCAAAGACUGAUGCUGGUCUAUCUAUGGCUUGGUCCCCAUUUAAGUUCAGUCCACCAGUAGCUCUUUUAUCUAUCCUGGGCCGUUUGGUCAGAGCUGACAUUUUUUUAUUAUUUUGUUGUUGUUGUUGUUGUUGUUGUUGUUGUUAUUAUUAUUAUUAUUAUUAUUAUUAUUAUUAUUAUUAUUAUUAUUAUUAUUUUAAUUGUUCCAGUCCUAGCUGACAGUAUGGCAGUCAUGUGAACUACUAUUAUGCACUUGAGAGAGAGAGUUUAGAUUGUUGAUCCAUAGCCGACUUCUCCUCUCUCCAGCCUUAUUGUCUCCACACCACAUCAAACCGAGGAUAGAGCCCUUAUGGAGGCGAUUCUAUCAAAGUGGUUCGGUCACUAAUGAGCCAAGGGUCGAUAGGCUUGCAGCCGAUUGGCAAUAUAUGAAAUAUUUACAUGUAAAAACCCCACAAAGAUUCCCGUCAGUUUAAGGCGUUAUGUCCUUGCAAAGACUUUGGCUAUAAUGAAGAGGUGCCUUUAUUUUAAUGCUACUUAUAGCACUCGUCAUAUCCGACUAGAGCCAUUGUAUACAUUAAAAGAAGCAUGGUGUUGUGGUGACUGCUCUUCAAUGCUCACCAGCAGUCUGAGAUCGUUCUUAUACCUUCAUCCAGUCUCCUCGUGGUUCACCUCAGUUCGUAAAUGCCUCUUCUCUCUUAAAAGCCUUCACGUCCUAAACAGAGUAUUUAAACAGAGAGUGACUGGUUCCACUGAGCAACUGAAGCCGAUUGCUCCGUUUGUCCCUUUUAAGGAAUUCGUCAUCGUGACUUCAUUGCCGCCUUUUAAGGUUGUUAGCGGCUCGCCCCUCAACCACCCUCUCAUUUGGUUUUGUAAAAGUGAAGCUAAAAUGGGUUGCACUUUAGCUGUGACACAGGCACUGAACAGGCGUAGGAAAAGCUCCCAAUACUGAAACCAGAAGCACAGACCGUCUCUGAGUUUGUGCAACAGGCCCUGAUAUUUCAAAUUUAUGGAUUGGUGUUGAUGACUCCGACAGUGGUGUUUGAGGCUCUAGCAAAGUGCACUUGACUCUGUUUUUAUUUACAUUUUUUAUUGUUUUACUUCAACAAAGUGAAGGCAGGGACCACACCAGCAGCCCUCUCCUUCCUGACGGUGUGGCGUGUACAAACCUCGGCUGCGCCUUUCCCACCGAGAGCCCUGACGCCUCCGCCGGCGGGCCAGCCGGGCGUACACAGUCCUACACUGACAACCGGGCUUGCUGGGUUCUGCUGCUAAAGGUCAACGAUGAAUGUAUAUUCUUCCUCCACAUCACCCAACGUGGGUGGAUGUUGAUGCUUUGUCAGCUAUAUUCGUUUAGGGGUUUUUUUUGUUGCUUUUUUUUGUUUGUUUGGUUUUUGUUUGGUUUUUUUUUUUUGUUAAGUUGUCGUGUCAGCAACCCCUGGUAGAUGUGGAAGACAUGUCGAUACGACCUCAAAGCCAGGGAGCAGUUUCAUUUCAGCACUGGGAUUAACACUGAGGCGUAAAACAGCGGGCAGUGUUUUCUGUCUGUAGGACAACAGGUUAGCUCAAACAGUUCACGCUAGCGUCGGCCGGCGCCAAGGGCUCUGUCUACGACUCUCUCUUCACGAGAGCCACUUCUGCUUUUUUCAGGGUCAGAGUGUGUUUAUUGACGACAAGUCAUUUAUUUCACCGUUUUUAAAACGGCAUAGAUACAAAUAAGGAAGCUGUCUGCUGUUUCUUUGGUCUUCAUUUUACCACGCCACACCAGUGGCACUUCUACGUCAUUAUCUGUAAUUAUAGUAUAAAUACUUAACAAUAUUAUACGGAAACAUGCAUAGUAAUUUCUUGUACUUUAGUAUCUAUACAAUAUAUGGAAUGGACAGACAAACUUAGUUACAGUAGCAAAAACAGCAGAUUUAUAAUGGUUAAUAGCAAUGUUUCAAUGUACUCUAUAAUGGUUUUGUGUUACAGUACUAUCCGCUGAAUCUAACGUGCAUCACUCUUUUGUAUAUUGAUAUCCAGUACCAGUUUUGCUGUGCCUGUGAGCGCUCCUCCUCCUCCGCAGCAGCAGGGAGCGUUGCAGUUCUUUUUGUUUUAUUUCUGGAAAGGAACUUUUUUGGGGGAAGGGGGGGGGGGGGGGGGUAGUUUCUUGUUUGUUUGUUUGUUUGUUUUUUGUUGUUUUUUUUUUUAAUGUGAUGAGAAAUGUAACUGUAUUAAUGUGGUUGUGAACUUCUUGAGGUCAUCCAUUUUUUCUGGUUGUUGUAGUGAAUGUUUUUUCUUUUUUAAUUUUCUUUUAUUAUUUUUUUAAUUUAGUUUUUUUAAUGUUUUAACAGGGACUUUUUAGACUGCUUACUUGAUGCGGUAAAAAUUAGGAGAUGGGUUUGUGGAGGCUUACCAGGAUUUUAAAGAUACCACCAAAAUGGCGUUUUUCUUUUAAUUUAAUUUUUUUUUUUUUUUUUUUUUUUUUUUGGUUUUUUUUGAUCAGGUUUUUUUUUCACGUUGGAAACCUCUCUCGUCUCCCUGACCACCUCUUUAUCUCUCUCUCCUAUGAAGCUUUUGGUUGUACUUAUCAUGUACUGUUUUUUGUAGAAAGUCAUAAUGCUGAUGUUGAAAACAUUUAAUUUAUUUAUUUCGUGCAACAUCCACCCUGAAUUGUUCUUUUACAAAUCAAGGUUUUGGAGAGGUCAGACAAGUACUUAAACCUGUAUUUGUAAUUUUUCUGAUUGUUUCACAUGUAUAGACGUUAUCAGCCUAGGGUGGGUUGCGGUGUCGCAGUAGGACGUGGAAAAGAGGGAUCACGAACGGGCUAGUUUGUUUCGCCUUGAUUAUCUGCCGUUGUCUUAUCAUUUUCUUCCCGCUCUCUGUAAUAACGGUAUUCACAGCAGUCAUAUUUUCUCCCAUAAAACAGGCGAUCUUUCUUUGUACACAUCAACGAAAUGAAGGAAAACCACCACCGUGAAAAUAAACCACAAACUACUUGGUUGAAUGUAUAAUUUGGAAACAAAGUUGUACAUAAGUGUAAAAAGAAAAGUUUCUAAUCAUGUUUAUUUUCUAUGCACUUUUUUAUUUAAGUGAUAGUUUAAAUAAUAAACAUGUCUCCUUUA